rnacentral:lncRNA from 1 species
CCUUCAGAGUCUGAGGACAGCUGCUGCUGACAAGAGCAAACUACCAGCAGGAAAACUAUGUGAAGAGAAAGAAAAUACAAACUUGUAUUUCCUUAAGAUGGGAAGUUUUGGGAGAAAAUGCAAAUUGGAUCAAAUGAGAGCAAGCAGCUGAACGACCACGGACAUGGGGCAGAAUCUCAGAUUCCUCAUCUGCAAAGUGAGGAACCUUGGACCAAGGAAUCUACCGGAUACCCUGAAACUCCCUCAUAGAAGUAUCAUACAAUUUUGCUCAUUAAAUCCAACAGGCUGUUCUUCAUCAUCAAGAAAUGGAGACUCAGAAAGUUUGGAGCACUCCUUUGCUGAAGAUCUGUUAAAUUAUCUGAUUUAUUUUACUUUCCUCCAAAUGAUUAAGCCCCAGGCUAUGAAAUUUUGUCCUAUUGCCCACGUUGAACUAAAAUUCCUUCAGUUAUCUCUUUUGAGUCUGCAUAAAUUUUCCUUUGCCUGUAUGAAAGUCUGACUAUUGGUCAUUUCUUUGGAGAGGUUGGGAGGAGAAAGAAAGUGAAAAGGUCAAAUCAUUGCCAAUUUUAAAUCAAGCCCUG